UGGCGGCGUGCUUAACACAUGCAAGUCGAACGAGAAUCACUGGAAGGAGUUUUCGGACAACGGAAGGUGAGGACAGUGGCGGACGGGUGAGUAACGCGUGAGGAACCUGCCUUUCAGAGGGGGACAACAGUUGGAAACGACUGCUAAUACCGCAUGACACAUAGAGAUCGCAUGGUUUUUAUGUCAAAGAUUUAUCGCUGAAAGAUGGCCUCGCGUCUGAUUAGCUAGUUGGUGGGGUAACGGCCCACCAAGGCGACGAUCAGUAGCCGGACUGAGAGGUUGACCGGCCACAUUGGGACUGAGAUACGGCCCAGACUCCUACGGGAGGCAGCAGUGGGGAAUAUUGGGCAAUGGGCGCAAGCCUGACCCAGCAACGCCGCGUGAAGGAAGAAGGCUUUCGGGUUGUAAACUUCUUUUGUCGGGGACGAGUAGAAGACGGUACCUGGCGAAUAAGCCACGGCUAACUACGUGCCAGCAGCCGCGGUAAUACGUAGGUGGCAAGCGUUGUCCGGAUUUACUGGGUGUAAAGGGCGUGUAGCCGGGAAGGCAAGUCAGAUGUGAAAUCCACGGGCUUAACUCGUGAACUGCAUUUGAAACUACUUUUCUUGAGUAUCGGAGAGGCAAUCGGAAUUCCUAGUGUAGCGGUGAAAUGCGUAGAUAUUAGGAGGAACACCAGUGGCGAAGGCGGAUUGCUGGACGACAACU
rnacentral:rRNA from 1 species